rnacentral:rRNA from 1 species
UACGUAGGGUGCAAGCGUUAAUCGGAAUUACUGGGCGUAAAGCGUGCGCAGGCGGUUUUGUAAGUCUGUCGUGAAAUCCCCGGGCUCAACCUGGGAAUUGCGAUGGAGACUGCAAGGCUAGAAUCUGGCAGAGGGGGGUAGAAUUCUACGUGUGAGCAGUGAAAUGCGUAGAGAUGUGGAGGAACACCGAUGGCGAAGGCAGCCCCCUGGGUCAAGAUUGACGCUCAUGCACGAAAGCGUGGGGAGCAACAGG